rnacentral:tRNA from 1 species
AUUUAGGUGUGUUUUGCACGUAGAAUUUUGAUUUCUUUGGGUUUAGUUAAACUCUAAAAAAUAUAA